GUGGGGGUGGGGGUGGGGGAGACACAGCACCUGGCCGCACCUCCGCCCAGGUGACAGUUUAACUGCCUCCGCAUCCCUCCUCCGACCUCCCCGUGCGACCCGGCAGCCACUUGGACGCGGGGGUGGCUGGAGACCGCAGGAAGAAUCCCAUUUUAUCCCAAACAUCCCGGCCCAGGCCUCCGUGCCAAACUGCAAACUCAAUGAGGAAGAUACCGUAACUUGUGCUCUCUGACAGAUGAGGAAACCGAGGGACAGUGGGGUAACCAGGGAAUUUGUGAAUGAGUUGUGGAUUAAUGCAUGAUGACUCUCGUGCUGCUUUCUGGCUGACUCUCCACCAUUGGCACCAAGUUGCAAAGGUCUUGUUCUUUCCUGUCCUGCAUUGUACAAGACCUGCACCAGGUAGUGAGGAUCUAGUGGCCAGUCAGACGGAAGCCAGCCCUCAGAGCCCACAGUGUCGUGGGCAGGCAGACGGGAGGCAAGUGGAGGAAGAGAGAGGAGCCGCUCGCAUAGACAGCAGGGCCUGUGAGAGCCCUUCGUCCCCGUCUCGCCCUCUCUAGUUGCCACUCUUUACAAAGAAAAAAAAAAAAAGGAAUGAACGUGGUCAGCAAAAGCGAGAGGUGGUGUUUAAGCUGUCAGUGCUGCUGAG